AUAUUUUCCAUAUCCCAAACCAAUACAUAUUAUUCCAGCAAAAGGAAAGAAAAAAAACAAUUUAAAAUUCGUCAGUCUUUUUGGCUCUUCCUGUUGUUGUUCGUUACCAACAGUCAUCAAUUAUGGCCAGGCCAUGGAUGGCAUAGGAUAGGCCGUUCCGGCUCCCUCUGACCCGCCUUCGGGUUACAUUUGCGUCCCCGUACCCGUUCCAUUCCACCAACAAAAGUGUCACUGUCGGAAGCGCCCAACUAACUAAACUAUGCAAAUUGGUUAUUUUAUGGCCGAAACCCUUUUGUUGUGCGGUACGGCGAGCGGGCAGGAUAACACGACAACGCGGCAGACAAUGCUGCAACAAAAAAUAAAGGAGGCAGUGGCAUAGAAUUGUAUUAUACCAACAACAGCAAAAAGGGAAAGCAAGGACAACGGCAACUAAUGGCACAAUUUAACCAACUAGCUGGAUGUCGGAAUACUGGGUAUCCUGGGAUCCUAGGGAUUCUUGCUGGCGAAUGCGGAUGCGGAUAUGUGAGAAUUCAAUGAAAUGGAAACUAACAAAAUCAAAUUGAUGGCAAAAAAAGCAACACAAAAAAAAAGCAAGAACAAGCACAGGAGUAAGCUUUAAAGGACACUCAGAGGCGCUGCCGACCUCGACGCAGACUCAGACACGGACUCGGAUGAAAAGAAAUCAGCGCAAAUCAAACGAAGCAGCGCAGCAGGAAAAAUUGGGCCGGCACCAGGCGCUGGACUUAGGCAAAAAAUGUGGAAAAGCGGAAACGCAGCUACAAAAGGGCGGCUCCGUAGCAGCCUCCAUUCCCCUCCUCCUGCUCUCUGCAUCCAUAGAAACAACAAAAGAUGCCGGGAAUUGCCGAAGGAGCCAUGACAUGGAACAAUGCCUCUGACUCGGCCUCUCGCUCUGCCAUUGGGCCGGAGAUGAGCGGUGGGCGGAUGGGCUAGGGCUGACGUGGGUGUGUGGGGCAAUGGGGUGCAUAACUCGUGCCCCUGCUUCCGUUCAAUUUGAAGCCUGUUUGUUGGCCAAGAAAUGCGGAAACGAGCAGUUGGCGGCCGAUUGGAACAAUUGCAGCGAAGGAAUCAGCAGCGGUAGUGGCAGCGGCAAUGGCCGUGACAGGAAAUCAAGACGCAGCCGUGGCAAAAAUUAAACAAACAUGGCCGAAAACGGAAAUGGCCAAGAAAGAGCAAGAGAGGGAGAGAAAGAGAAGCAGUGGUGGUGGUGUAGCCACUUGGCCGAUCCUAUCCAUUGUUUGAAGUUAUUAUUGGUGCAGUCAAUCGAGUCGAGACGAAUCCGUCUGCGGACCCAAUCAUCGGUCGAACUUGUUAUUGCCUUUCCCCCAUAGGAUAUCGCCUGAUUUUUCCCUUUUUUUUCCCUGAGCACAUCGAGACUCUAUAUAAUUUUUGCUCUCCACUUCUGUUUGUCUUUCCUUUUUCGCAGUUGGCAUGUGAGCGUAUAAUUUGUGAAAAUUAUUUGCUCUGCUGUCGUCCUGCAGAAAGGAGCCCCUUGAUCGGACUCCCGUUUCUCGUCCCUGGUUGGCCCGGAAGGGCGGAAAAUAUUUUUUCAUCAUUGCAUCGCAGUAGCCGACGGACCGACUGACGGACUGACGGACCGACCGACCGGUCAGGGACGACGACAGGAAGCGUUGCGGUCGCCGCCUCCAGCCAAAAGGGUUUAAAUUUUAAAUUAAGCUCUUUUAUUGCUGGCUAAAAGGGGGUGGGCGCGGAGCGAGCAUCCCGGGCAAUACCUCUUGCGGUGCGGUGCGAUGAUUGUCAAGCCCUUUAAUUGCCUCAAGUGACCCAACGGAGCAACGAAGGAAUGGAUGGACUUUAAUUGGACCAGAGAUGAUUUUCCGAUCAGUCCUUCAAGUGGACAGGCUCUUCUGCCGGCUGCUAAGCCACUUGGAAAGCCCUGAAGAGGAAUGGAUACUAAAUAUUUGUCGGCCAACUUUAUAUUUUAAUCAAGUUUAUGAAAAUGAACGCCUCUGCCAAGACAAACUUCAGACAAUUUCACGCCUCUACUUGAACUGUGGCCAUUUGAAAGUCAGUGAGCCAACCACAAGGGCCCAGGACUCUCCGUUCCAGCCAAUUCAUUACAGAAAGUGGAAUGGGUGGGAUAUUCGGUGUGUACUCAGGGUUGACAACAUGCUUCCAGCCAUUAUGCCAAAGCGAAAAGAGCUAGGACUACAGUCUACAGGCAAAAAAAGAAAAGGACAUUUCCCCCUCCCGAACAAAGCAACAAAGAGAAUCGGGAAUGAGUAUCCUCGUAAUGGAGUGAGAGGCGCUGAUGGGGCGCUGAUUUUAAUGCAUGAAAGAAGCGACAGCGAGGCAAAUACGAGUUGGCGGUUACACUGCCAGAGGCCACACAGCAGUGGCCAUAAUGAGAGCUACUACUGCCACAUCGAUGACCGUGACCAAGCCAGAGGGGAGAACGGAAGAGGGCUCCGAUUCCCACCAAAAAUUAUCAACGAAAAAUUUCACCAACGAGAGCUGCCGCCGCCAAAAGCUUCUUGGGCGUCUGGUCGGAAGUCUGGUAAUUGGAAAUGAUGCUCGAGUCCCACUCAAGUUGCGGGCGAGGGAUUAAUGAUGCUGCAGCCUGAGAUUGUUGUCCAGCAGCAGAGAAGGUUGACGAUAAUGAUGGUUGACUGCGACAACGUGUUGCCGUUAAAUGAAUUGAAUGUGAUGCCUUUUAGCUGAGAUUAAGCAGCAGCAAUUCCAAUGGCAACUAACUCAUUCAGGCAACAGCAAAUUUAACUAUGGAAUGCUAGAGUCAGAGCCCGGAGGCCAGGGCCCGGGGCUUUGAGCUCGGAGCCAGACUGCAUUCCAAGCCCUGAAAUGGCAUUUCAUCUUUUUAAUUGAAUUUUAAUUUGUUUAGAAUGCGCUUAGAGGCAUCGCACGCCAAGUGGCCAAGUGCUUCUAGCCAAGUCCGGAGCCCGAAGUCCUGUGUCCGUAACCGCCCUCACUUAAUUUACCAUGCAACCCAUCCACACAGCCCGAGCACUACUUGCAGUUGUUGUCUGGAAGCUUUUCACAAAUCGAUUAAAUUUAAUUUGUUUUCCUUGCCGGCUUUCUCCGCUGCCAGUCAUCAUCAUCGUCUCUUUUUUUGCACUUCCUCUGUACCGUACUUUCCUUUCCGUUCCGUUUGGGGAAAAGCUUAGUUUUUAGCAGUAAUUUCAUAAUGAGUUGACUUUAUUGCUGGCCAGGAGACCAGGACCAGACCGAGUCCCAGGCGCAAACACUGUCCCACCCUGUUCCAGGGCCUGUGCCAGUGCCAGUGCCAGAUGCAGAUGGAAAUACUCGCCCAUUGCUGUUGGCAAAUAAAACGGUUCACGCCAACAUUAAGCAACUAUGAAGUGUGGAAGCUAACGAAGGGAAAACUUCAAGUCGGAAAUAACAGAG
rnacentral:lncRNA from 1 species